rnacentral:pre_miRNA from 1 species
ACAGGUCCUGUCGAACAGAGGCUGUUCGAUAGGGAUCUAGUCAAACUGGGGCUGUUCGACAGGUUCUCCUAUCGAACUGGCGUAGUUCGACAGGCCG